GUGGGGAAUAUUGGACAAUGGGGGGAACCCUGAUCCAGCCAUGCCGCGUGUGUGAAGAAGGCCUUUUGGUUGUAAAGCACUUUAAGCGAGGAGGAGGCUACCGAGAUUAAUACUCUUGGAUAGUGGACGUUACUCGCAGAAUAAGCACCGGCUAACUCUGUGCCAGCAGCAGCGGUAAUACAGAGGGUGCGAGCGUUAAUCGGAUUUACUGGGCGUAAAGCGUGCGUAGGCGGCUUUUUAAGUCGGAUGUGAAAUCCCCGGGCUUAACUUGGGAAUUGCAUUCGAUACUGGGAAGCUAGAGUAUGGAAGAGGAUGGUAGAAUGCCAGGUGUAGCGGUGAAAUGCGUAGAGAUCUGGAGGAAUACCGAUGGCGAAGGCAGCCAUCUGGCCUAAUACUGACGCUGAGGUACGAAAGCAUGGGGAGCAAACAGGAUUAGAUACCCGUGUAGUCC
rnacentral:rRNA from 1 species